AUUUGUGUAGUUUAAUAAAAACAUAUCAUUUUCAAUGAUAAAAUAAAUAUUUUUUACAAAUA
rnacentral:tRNA from 1 species